rfam:Aedes albopictus isolate Foshan contig94513, whole genome shotgun sequence.
UGUUCUGUGGCUUAGUUGGUUAAAGCGCCGGUUUAGCGAAUACGGAGUCGUGGGUUCGAAUCCCACCCGAACGC